AUUAAGUUCUAGAUGAGAGCUGAGUUGCCGUGGCAACCGUGACGCAUCAUCAGUCAACAAAGAACAACAACAAACUCUCAUCUCUCUCAACUCUUCUCUUUUAUUGUAAAAGGAGGAGACCGGAAUACCCGGAGUAAACCCACGCUGACACCGGGAGAACAUGCAAACCCCACACAGAAACGCCACCUGACCUAGCCGGGGCUCGAACCGAUGACCUUUUUGCUGUCCUGUUUGACUCUCAUUAUAAAGUCCAUCCGUGUUUCUGUUUUUCCGUCUGUCUUUUUGUCCGUCUGUCUUUCUGUCUGUCCAUCUGUCUUUCUGUCCGUCAAUAUUUCUGUCUAUCCGUCUGUCUGUCUGUCUUUCUGUCCGUCAAUCUUUCUUUCUGUCUGUCUGUCUGUCCAUCUGUCUUUCUUU